rnacentral:rRNA from 1 species
CCUCGGGGGGCAGCAGUGGGGAAUAUUGGACAAUGGGCGAAAGCCUGAUCCAGCCAUGCCGCGUGUGUGAAGAAGGCCUUCGGGUUGUAAAGCACUUUCAGUGGGGAAGAAAGCCUUGGGGCUAAUACCCUCGAGGAAGGACAUCACCCACAGAAGAAGCACCGGCUAACUCCGAGCCAGCAGCCGCGGUAAUACGGAGGGUGCGAGCGUUAAUCGGAAUUACUGGGCGUAAAGCGCGCGUAGGCGGUCUGAUAAGCCGGUUGUGAAAGCCCCGGGCUCAACCUGGGAACGGCAUCCGGAACUGUCAGGCUAGAGUGCAGGAGAGGAAGGUAGAAUUCCCGGUGUAGCGGUGAAAUGCGUAGAGAUCGGGAAGAAUACCAGUCGCGAAGGCAGCCUUCUAGACUGACACUGACACUGAGGUGCGAAAGCGUGGGUAGCAAACAGGAUUAGAUACCCUAGUAGUC